rnacentral:sRNA from 1 species
AAAAGUCCCGUCCAAUGCCUCAUCGUCCGGCGUGCUAGUACGCGGGGACGCUGAGGCAUUGGACGGGCAAAGCAGGUAUGAGCAAGGAGAGCGAGAGCUCGGAAUGCGAAUAUAAAAAUGAUAGAUUCGGCCCGCCUUUU